rnacentral:rRNA from 1 species
AGAGUUUGAUCAUGGCUCAGAUUGAACGCUGGCGGAAUGCUUUACACAUGCAAGUCGAACGGCAGCACGGACUUCGGUCUGGUGGCGAGUGGCGAACGGGUGAGUAAUGUAUCGGAACGUGCCCAGUCGUGGGGGAUAACGUAGUGAAAAUUACGCUAAUACCGCAUACGAUCUAUGGAUGAAAGCGGGGGAUCGCAAGACCUCGCGCGAUUGGAGCGGCCGAUAUCAGAUUAGGUAGUUGGUGGGGUAAAGGCCCACCAAGCCAACGAUCUGUAGCUGGUCUGAGAGGACGACCAGCCACACUGGAACUGAGACACGGUCCAGACUCCUACGGGAGGCAGCAGUGGGGAAUUUUGGACAAUGGGCGCAAGCCUGAUCCAGCCAUUCCGCGUGCAGGAUGAAGGCCCUCGGGUUGUAAACUGCUUUUGUACAGAACGAAAAGCUCUGGGUUAAUACCUCGGGGUCAUGACGGUACUGUAAGAAUAAGCACCGGCUAACUACGUGCCAGCAGCCGCGGUAAU